UGUCAAUGUGGAACAUGAUGAUACAAUGUCUCGCAGUUUUUUGAAUCGUCUGCCGGCGGUUAAUGUCCGUUGCAAUGCAUGCAACAAGUACAUUGCCGAGAAAUUUGUAGGGCUUACUCCGCCUUGCCCUCGAGUAAUGGAAGGAAGUUAUUUACUACAUACGGACCGGAUGCUGUAUUGGAAUGGAACCCAGUUGCGUUACGCGCCAGGAGCCUACGAUGACAGAACCCCUUA